rnacentral:rRNA from 1 species
UACGAAGGGGGCUAGCGUUGUUCGGAAUUACUGGGCGUAAAGCGCGCGCAGGCGGCUAUCCAAGUCAGUGGUGAAAGCCCGGAGCUCAACUCCGGAACUGCCAUUGAAACUGUUUAGCUUGAGGACGAGAGAGGUGAGUGGAAUUCCCAGUGUAGAGGUGAAAUUCGUAGAUAUCGGGAAGAACACCCGUGGCGAAGGCGGUUCUCUGGGACGGUACUGACGCUGAGACGCGAAAGCGUGGGGAGCGAACAGG